AUGGGCAUGCUGCUCCGCCGGGUCUCCAGAAAAACCCUCAGCCAGACCCAAAUCCAGACCCAGGACUCACAGGACACAAACCCAACUCCCCACAGUCCCGUAGCCCACUUACAGCAGCCCCUGGCCGGCCCCCCUGACAGGCGGACCCAGCUGAAACGAGCCAGACAGGGCCUGGCUGAGUGUAUAUGUCUGACCCCACUGGUAGAGGAGCAAGGCCUAGCCUCGGAAGCACCAGAGCCCCACUCGGUCCCCCAGGAGGGUGCGCUCAGGCUGGAGGUGGGGAAGGAGUAUCAACCCCUGAUCUCCAGUGGUAUUCCAACCAGAAAGAAAAGUCCUGGGGAGGCCAGGGAGUCCUUUGAGAUGGAGGAGAUCCAGAGCUUUGAUGAGGGCAGUAUUUCUGGGAGCUACAUGGGAGCAUCCGACACCACAGCAGUGUGUGUGAUGAGGACUAACAGCUGCCAGUCUGACAGCAGUGGUUUCCUGGAAGAACCCUUCAUCCCGUCCAUUACCCAGCAUCCCUCACCUGGACCCGAGCUCAUGAAGGUUACACGGAGAACAUUCUAGAAGUGCAACAAUCUAGGCGUGUUACUUUUAGUUAGUUCUACUGACUUACUUAAACUUACUUUAAGUUAUUGCUACUAACUUAUAUACUUCACCAGCCCAAAAUAUUAAAAUAUAUUAUUGAAUUGAUAUUCUGUCUAUUUCAUGGUGCACAAUUUAAGAGGUCAUUCAUUAAUUUAAACUGACAGUGUUUGGUUGUUGUUUAAGGCUUUGUCGGGAAUAUCUGGAGGCAGCACUGACAGCCAGAUCACUGUAAAAGGAGCUUCACCCCCCUCGUCCCCCCCAUCCACUUCCCUGGACCCUUCCCCUCCUUCCCUCUCCACGUGCCACCCAAGACCCGAGUCUCCUCUAUACAGACCAGAGACAACAAGCCCUACAGAGGAGACACCCAGACACCAGGAUUCCCCCACACCCCACUCCC
rnacentral:lncRNA from 1 species